rnacentral:rRNA from 1 species
UACGUAGGCGGCCAUAUAAGUCAGAAGUGAAAGGCUACGGCUUAACCGUAGUAAGCUUUUGAAACUGUAUGGCUUGAGUGCAGGAGAGGAAAGCGGAAUUCCUAGUGUAGCGGUGAAAUGCGUAGAUAUUAGGAAGAACACCAGUAGCGAAGGCGGCUUUCUGGACUGAAACUGACGCUGAGGUACGAAAGCGUGGGGAGCGAACAGGAUUAGAUACCAUGGUAGUCC